ACAUACAUAAAAAAAAGAUCAUUUCAUAGUACCUUGAAAGACAGAAACCAUGGAUUAACACAUAAUUGACAAUUUGCCAACAGUUGUGAGAGAAGUCAGUACUGUUUACCUACACUAAAUUGAAUCGCUUCGGUAUACACUUUGCUAAAUACAGCAGAAAUCAUAAGAGUGUGGCAAAUCUCAAAAUCCAACAUCAGAUUUUGAGUGGUACUUUUUUUCAGGCUUCCUUUUGAAAUCAAAAGGUUUCUGAGGAUUCGGAUGUUUGGUCUUUCGUUCCCAUUUGUCUGCGUCAAAACCCACCUCAGGAGUGAGAUCGUCAAAUUCACGAUUUAAAACACUCUCGUCUUGCUGGACAACAGAGAGUCGCCGAUUUGACUUUUUGGGUACGUUAAACUCGGAAGCGUUGUUACUAGUAGAUGAUUCUUGAGGAACCAUCCGAUCAUUCUCAUGCUGUUGAUAUGAGGGAGGGAAAUCCGACAUCCUUGGUGUUAAAAUGCAGAUGUUACGAAUGUUGGGUCUAACAAACACACAAGUUUGCUCAGUUAACUUCCUUUAGUUUCACGUUACUGUGAUCAACUAGAGAGAUUGGUUAGUACUGAAUUUUUAAGAUAUCGCAAGAGCACUAAAAUUCCCGCAUUACCUACUUUUAUAAUAAAACGUUUCUUAAGUUUUCCCUGAAAUCCAAAGAAACUAACAAACAAGAAAAUAGAUUAAAAGUGUUACACGUGGUAGUGAUUAUAAGCAAAGAUGCUAAAAAUGAAUAAUCUUAGAAUUCUUCGCAGCUCCUACUCUUAAGGAACGUACUACUAAUAUAUAUUUGCUCCGUAAAUUGGUAAAUUAACUUGACUCUUCAUGUUAUAUUACCGACGUCAUUUUCAAGGCCACCUUUUCUAAGCAUCACUUGCCAUCAUUGCAAACCGCCGUUGGGGAGUAAAUAUGAUGUUACCAGAGGAGAGAAGUUGCUGUCUGCGCAUUCAAGUUUGUGAAUCUUAGUGCUAACUAAGCAAAGUUUAGAACGGUAAUUUUUCGACUUUCAAGGUCACAGGGAGGCGUUCGUGUGACGUGCAUAUUAUUUCUAAGAUAGUCAGUUUCACUCAGGAAAUUAAGUAAGGAACAAGAAAUAAAGAGGGUUUCAUAAAUUAAUAGUUUUUAUCAAUUUCAAUAUCACAAAACCAGCAGCCAAGUGGGGCAAUCUGACAUGAGAAUCAAUCGUUUUGCAUUGUCUCCAACUCACCCAACCUGAACUUUUGAUGAUGAUGAUGAUAUACAUUCACUCGAGUCACAAGUUUUGAAGUGCACAGAAAGUAGAGUAAACAGAGAAUGCGAAAAUGAAUGAUUCCUCUUCGGACUUUGCUUGGCUAGGUCAAAAAAAAUGUAUCAAGGUAGUUAAUCUCAAGCCUUUUAGGUAUAGAAUGAACUAGUAACGAGUAAUAAACAUUGAUUUUGCUGUAAAUCCCAAACGCUUUUUAAUUUUAUUGAAAAAAUUCUUUCAAACGAGUAUACCUUCGUUUUUCAUUAAUAAUAUCUAGACGACACUUAG